UAAGCGCUGAAAGCAUCUAAGCGCGAAACCUGUUCUGAGAUGAGAUCUCCCACUGGAUAACCAGGUAAGGCCCGUGGAAGACCACCACGUUGAUAGGCCGGAUGUGUAAGCGCAGUAAUGUGCUCAGCAGACCGGUACUAAUCGGCCGAGGGCUUGGGCUCA
rnacentral:rRNA from 1 species